rnacentral:lncRNA from 1 species
CUUAGCCCGAGGUAUAUUGGCCCUUAUGAGAUUAUAGAGCGAGUUGGCUCACUUGCUUAUCGAUUAGCCUUGCCUCCAGAGUUGGCUAGGAUACAUAAGGUGUUUCAUGUAUCCAUGCUUCGCAAGUAUAUUGCCGAUCCUUCUCAUGUGCUGCAAGAGCAGCCGAUCAGUUUGACGAGAGAUUUGACCUAUGAAGAGGAACCGGUUCAGAUUCUCGACCGAAAGGAGCAAGUGCUUAGGAACAAGACAAUUCCGCUUGUCAAGGUGCUGUGGAGAAGUCAUCAAGUAGAAGAAGCUACUUGGGAAUCAGAGGAGCAAAUGAUGCAGCAGUCUCCGUAUCUCUUCGGAUGACAUGUAAAUUAAUUUCGAGGACGAAAUUUUUAUAAGGAGGGGAGAAUUGUCACAUCCCGACCCUUAUAUUUUUACCUUAUUUACUAGCGUGAUUAUAAUAAGAAUUUUACCGUCUCCGUCAUUGAGUAAAUAGUUUAAUUGGUCCCUAGAGGGGUUUCGGGGACGAUUAUGUGCGGAGNNNNN